CGUAACAAGGUCUCCGUAGGUGAACCUGCGGAGGGAUCAUUACACAAAUAUGAAGGCGGGCUGGAACCUCUCGGGGUUACAGCCUUGCUGAAUUAUUCACCCUUGUCUUUUGCGUACUUCUUGUUUCCUUGGUGGGUUCGCCCACCACUAGGACAAACAUAAACCUUUUGUAAUUGCAAUCAGCGUCAGUAACAAAUUAAUAAUUACAACUUUCAACAACGGAUCUCUUGGUUCUGGCAUCGAUGAAGAACGCAGCGAAAUGCGAUAAGUAGUGUGAAUUGCAGAAUUCAGUGAAUCAUCGAAUCUUUGAACGCACAUUGCGCCCUUUGGUAUUCCAAAGGGCAUGCCUGUUCGAGCGUCAUUUGUACCCUCAAGCUUUGCUUGGUGUUGGGCGUCUUGUCUCUAGCUUUGCUGGAGACUCGCCUUAAAGUAAUUGGCAGCCGGCCUACUGGUUUCGGAGCGCAGCACAAGUCGCACUCUCUAUCAGCAAAGGUCUAGCAUCCAUUAAGCCUUUUUUUCAACUUUUGACCUCGGAUC
rnacentral:rRNA from 1 species